rnacentral:lncRNA from 1 species
UGGCAGCUUAUUCAGAAUACAAAAUUGUGUUUAGGUAUGUUCGAAGUGAACCGGAUCAGCUUAUGCCUGGGCACUUCAGCAGAUGAAUAUCAAACUUUAACCUACAUAUCAAUAAAAAAAUUUCCCAGUAGGAGAAGGCAUCCAAACCAUAUUAUGAUACUGCUAAACAUUUUGCUGCGUUCCACAUAAUGCGGACUGAAUACGAAGUAGGUUCUCAUACCUAGCAGUAGGCCAUUUAUGUCACGUACUUUAUGUCACGUACUUUUGC